GUGGAUUAGAUACCCUGGUAGUCCACGCUGUAAACGAUGGAUACUAGGUGUGGGGGGUCUGACCCCCUCCGUGCCGCAGUUAACACAAUAAGUAUCCCACCUGGGGAGUACGAUCGCAAGGUUGAAACUCAAAGGAAUUGACGGGGGCCCGCACAAGCGGUGGAGUAUGUGGUUUAAUUCGAAGCAACGCGAAGAACCUUACCAGGACUUGACAUCCUACUAACGAAGUAGAGAUACAUAAGGUGCCCUUCGGGGAAAGUAGAGACAGGUGGUGCACGGCUGUCGACAGCU
rnacentral:rRNA from 1 species